rnacentral:rRNA from 1 species
GCAGUCGAGCGGUAGAGAGAAGCUUGCUUCUCUUGAGAGCGGCGGACGGGUGAGUAAUGCCUAGGAAUCUGCCUGGUAGUGGGGGAUAACGUCCGGAAACGGACGCUAAUACCGCAUACGUCCUACGGGAGAAAGCAGGGGACCUUCGGGCCUUGCGCUAUCAGAUGAGCCUAGGUCGGAUUAGCUAGUUGGUGAGGUAAUGGCUCACCAAGGCGACGAUCCGUAACUGGUCUGAGAGGAUGAUCAGUCACACUGGAACUGAGACACGGUCCAGACUCCUACGGGAGGCAGCAGUGGGGAAUAUUGGACAAUGGGCGAAAGCCUGAUCCAGCCAUGCCGCGUGUGUGAAGAAGGUCUUCGGAUUGUAAAGCACUUUAAGUUGGGAGGAAGGGCAUUAACCUAAUACGUUAGUGUUUUGACGUUACCGACAGAAUAAGCACCGGCUAACUCUGUGCCAGCAGCCGCGGUAAUACAGAGGGUGCAAGCGUUAAUCGGAAUUACUGGGCGUAAAGCGCGCGUAUGUGGUUUGUUAAGUUGGAUGUGAAAGCCCCGGGCUCAACCUGGGAACUGCAUUCAAAACUGACAAGCUAGAGUAUGGUACAGGGUGGUGGAAUUUCCUGUGUAGCGGUGAAAUGCGUAGAUGUAGGAAGGAACACCAGUGGCGAAGGCGACCACCUGGACUGAUACUGACACUGAGGUGCGAAAGCGUGGGGAGCAUACAGGAUUAGAUACCCUGGUAGUCCACGCCAUACACGAUGUCAACUAGCCGUUGG